CCGGCGGUCUGGGGCCGUGGUGACCCGAGGGCUUCUUUUUCUCCCCCUACGCGUUUGUGCCGCCCUGGGGCAUCCUGGGAGAACCGAGCGCUCCGCCUUGAAGCGCUGUGGGAGUCGGUCCGCUAGUCGUAGGCCUGGUGCAUCCUGGGAAAGAGUGUCCCAGAUCCUUGUCGAGACCGGUUCCUUUUAUCCCACACCUGCCGCUGACCGUCCUGGAGGCUUGGAGCGCUUCCACACGGGGAGUCUGGGAAGCAUCCCUCUCUACCUGCCAACAUCCUGUAUUAGAGAACUUGUGGCCGGAGGUGUGGCUGUGGAGAGCUGGCCGGGGAGGGACGCUGCUCAGCUGCUGCUCUGCUCCUGUCUCCUGUCCCCUCCCCCGGUCAUGACAGAGACCCGUGAGCCAGCUGAGACUGGGGGCUACGCCAGCUUGGAAGAAGAUGAUGAAGACCUUUCCCCAGGUAAGGUGGCCUUAGAGGUGGUGGCGUCGGCUUGACUGUCAUCCUGGCUUAGGGUUUGGCCCCCACUGGGAAAUGUUGAUGGGGAGUGGCUGCUUGUCUUGCUAGGGGUUCUAUUCUGACUGAGACUGCUUGUCCUAGUAGGGGAUCUCUUCCAGUCGGGACUUCUGGGGACUGUAGAUUGACUGGGGUCGCUCUCCUUGCUAGAGGUUCUAGAUUGGCUAUGAUUUCCUUCUUUGCUGGGGGUUCUAGAUCGGCUAUGAGCUUUCUCCUUGCUGGAGGCUCUAGGUCGACU
rnacentral:lncRNA from 10 species